CUUGAGCCCCCUCAGUGCUUGACUAGAGUCAUUUUGAAUUUUGAAUAUUGGAAAUGCUAUUUCUAGAGUAAUGUCAUUCCUUUGGGAAAUGAAAUAUAGUGAUCAUCUUGGCUGAUCUACCAGUCACUUUUCCUUCCUUUUUUCUAAAUAGUGAAGCACUUUGCUUUGGGGACUGGCAUUUUGCCCUGCAUUCUCCAACAGAGCCACUGCAGAGCCAUUGACGACUACUGAUGCCUUUGGAUAAUUUACUGUGGCUCAUAAGUGGACUAGACUAUCCUCUUCUGGAAUUGCCAUGACCACAUGUCCACCAUGGUAACCACAAGAAAUACCAAAAUUUGAUUGAGCAGAAGCUACUGGGUUCUAUUUCAGGUAAAACUUAUUUUAAAUUAUGGUGUCUGCUAGAAGUGCCUCUCUUCAUUCCAGAUUCAUUCCAUUAUUCCAAAACCUUAGGAUUAUUAGAAGUUUAAUUUCUAGGUAGAGCAUAGCUAUUGUCUUAAUUUGAGUACACAGGCAGAAUUACUAAAUUAACAACUACUAUUUCUCCUCAACUCCUCUUGUGAUUCACGUGGAAUAUGAAGAUGUUUUCUAGUCUAUCUGUGGUCAUAGGAACACAUGAAUGCA